GAUUGUUUCACUGAAAGCUGGUCUUCAUCGCAUCUAUUUUUUGUUCUUAUUUUGUGUUUUACUUCUUUGUAUUUAUUCAUGUUUAAUAUCAGUUGUCAUUCAUUAAUGUAUUCAGCUAGUAACUGUUGUCAAGACCACUGAUAAUUUUUUUAUGUCAACAAAAACAUAAUUCACACAACAUGCUGCUGUUGUGGUUAUUGUUGAUGUUUUAAUGUAAAACCCUAACUGAGGCUACACUCUAAGAUGCCUUAUUACUGAUUUUCUGGAGCUCAGCCAUCCAACUACACAGACUGCCAAUACACUCUCAACAGUGUAAGAGAACAUGUAAGUGUGACCAGCUCUAUUCAGUUAAGGAUACUCUCCUCUUCUUCACUAAAUGCUGUCACAUCCUACAACCUCAUCAUCUACAGAGAGAAACUGCCAUUCAGUCACACCAAAAUACAGAUAAUGAUUAACUUAAAGGCUUCAUAGAGAAUUGUGAAGAUAUUUCACUGAAGCUUGGUCUUCAAUACACUUUUUUAUGUUCUUUUUUGUUUUAUUUCUUUAAGCAUUUAUUUAUGUUCAAUGUCAUUGUCAUUCAUUAAUGUAUUCUGCUAUUAAUUGUUGUUAGAACACUGUCAUUUUUGCUACAAUUUUACGUCAUUAAAAACAGUACCUAAUUGACAUCUUGUUGUUGUUCAUUUUAUGUAAAACCCUAAUAGACACUUAAGACCAGGCAGGUAAAGGGGUAAAAAAACAAUAUUAAUAAAUAAUAUAUACAAAUAAUACUAAUAUUAAUG
ensembl:lncRNA